rnacentral:rRNA from 1 species
UACAGAGGGUGCGAGCGUUAAUCGGAAUUACUGGGCGUAAAGCGCACGUAGGUGGCGACGUAAGUCGGGUGUGAAAGCCCCGGGCUCAACCUGGGAAUUGCAUUCGAGACUGCAUUGCUGGAGUACGGAAGAGGAAGGCGGAAUUCCCGGUGUAGCGGAGAAAUGCGUAGAUAUCGGGAGGAACAUCAGUGGCGAAGGCGGCCUUCUGGUCCAGUACUGACACUCAAGUGCGAAAGCGUGGGGAGCAAACAGG